AGGCCUACGGGGGGCAGCAGUGGGGAAUAUUGGGCAAUGGGCGCAGGCCUGACCCAGCAACGCCGCGUGAAGGAAGAAGGCUUUCGGGUUGUAAACUUCUUUUAUGAGGGACGAAACAAAUGACGGUACCUCAUGAAUAAGCCACGGCUAACUACGUGCCAGCAGCCGCGGUAAUACGUAGGUGGCAAGCGUUAUCCGGAUUUACUGGGUGUAAAGGGCGUGUAGGCGGGACUGCAAGUCAG
rnacentral:rRNA from 1 species